rnacentral:misc_RNA from 1 species
GUGAAUAUUAGGGCGUCUGCUUCGGCAGAGCCUGACCUCCACUUCUAACACUGUGCACUUGAUGGCAAGGAAAGGACUAGUACAACUUAAUUGUUGAAUUAGAACCCUGCUUUGCGGCUUCAUUUUAAACAUUAGUUAAAGUAUGUAACGAAAUAUCGAAACAAAAAA